rnacentral:rRNA from 1 species
GACGAACGCUGGCGGCGUGCCUAAUACAUGCAAGUCGAGCGGACCACUUCGGUGGUCAGCGGCGGACGGGUGAGUAACACGUGGGCAACCUGCCUGUAAGACGGGGAUAACACCGGGAAACCGGUGCUAAUACCGGAUAAUCCUUUUCUUCACAUGAAGGAAAGCUGAAAGACGGUUUCGGCUUUCACUUACAGAUGGGCCCGCGGCGCAUUAGCUAGUUGGUGAGGUAACGGCUCACCAAGGCCACGAUGCGUAGCCGACCUGAGAGGGUGAUCGGCCACACUGGGACUGAGACACGGCCCAGACUCCUACGGGAGGCAGCAGUAGGGAAUCUUCCGCAAUGGACGAAAGUCUGACGGAGCAACGCCGCGUGAGCGAUGAAGGCCUUCGGGUCGUAAAGCUCUGUUGUCAGGGAAGAACAAGUACCGGAGUAACUGCCGGUACCUUGACGGUACCUGACCAGAAAGCCACGGCUAACUACGUGCCAGCAGCCGCGGUAACAC